AACGAACGCUGGCGGCAGGCCUAACACAUGCAAGUCGAGCGAACCGCAAGGUUAGCGGCGGACGGGUUAGUAACGCGUGGGAACGUGCCCAAAGGCACGGAAUAGCCUCGGGAAACUGAGAGUAAUACCGUAUGUGCCCGAAAGGGGAAAGAUUUAUCGCCUUUGGAUCGGCCCGCGUUGGAUUAGGUAGUUGGUGGGGUAAUGGCCUACCAAGCCGACGAUCCAUAGCUGGUUUGAGAGGAUGAACAGCAACACUGGGACUGAGACACGGCCCAGACUCCUACGGGAGGCAGCAGUGGGGAAUCUUAGACAAUGGGGGAAACCCUGAUCUAGCCAUGCCGCGUGAGCGAUGAAGGCCUUAGGGUUGUAAAGCUCUUUCACCGGGGAAGAUAAUGACGGUACCCGGAGAAGAAGCCCCGGCUAACUCCGUGCCAGCCGCCGCCGUAACAC
rnacentral:rRNA from 1 species